rnacentral:rRNA from 1 species
UACGUAGGGGCCAAGCGUUGUCCGGAUUUAUUGGGCGUAAAGAGCUCGUAGGCGGUUCGGUAAGUCGGGUGUGAAAACCCCAGGCUCAACCUGGGGACGCCACCCGAUACUGCCGUGACUAGAGUCCGGUAGGGGAGUGGGGAAUUCCUGGUGUAGCGGUGAAAUGCGCAGAUAUCAGGAGGAACACCGGUGGCGAAGGCGCCACUCUGGGCCGGUACUGACGCUGAGGAGCGAAAGCGUGGGUAGCAAACAGG